rnacentral:rRNA from 1 species
AGUGAACGCUGGCGGUAGGCCUAACACAUGCAAGUCGAACGGCAGCACAGUAAGAGCUUGCUCUUACGGGUGGCGAGUGGCGGACGGGUGAGGAAUACAUCGGAAUCUACUUUUUCGUGGGGGAUAACGUAGGGAAACUUACGCUAAUACCGCAUACGACCUACGGGUGAAAGCAGGGGAUCUUCGGACCUUGCGCGAUUGAAUGAGCCGAUGUCGGAUUAGCUAGUUGGCGGGGUAAAGGCCCACCAAGGCGACGAUCCGUAGCUGGUCUGAGAGGAUGAUCAGCCACACUGGAACUGAGACACGGUCCAGACUCCUACGGGAGGCAGCAGUGGGGAAUAUUGGACAAUGGGCGCAAGACUGAUCCAGCCAUACCGCGUGGGUGAAGAAGGCCUGCGGGUUGUAAAGACCUUUUGUUGGGAAAGAAAAGCAGCAGGUUAAUACCCCGCUGUUCUGACGGUACCCAAAGAAUAAGCACCGGCUAACUUCGUG